rnacentral:rRNA from 1 species
GAUGAACGCUGGCGGCGUGCCUAAUACAUGCAAGUCGAGCGAACAGACGAGGAGCUUGCUCCUCUGACGUUAGCGGCGGACGGGUGAGUAACACGUGGAUAACCUACCUAUAAGACUGGGAUAACUUCGGGAAACCGGAGCUAAUACCGGAUAAUAUAUUGAACCGCAUGGUUCAAUAGUGAACGACGGUUUUGCUGUCACUUAUAGAUGGAUCCGCGCCGCAUUAGCUAGUUGGUAAGGUAACGGCUUACCAACGCGACGAUGCGUAGCCGACCUGAGAGGGUGAUCGGCCACACUGGAACUGAGACACGGUCCAGACUCCUUCGGGAGGCAGCAGUAGGGAAUCUUCCGCAAAGGGCGAAAGCCUGACGGAGCAACGCCGCGUGAGUGAUGAAGGUCUUCGGAUCGUAAAACUCUGUUAUUAGGGAAGAACAAAUGUGUAAGUAACUAUGCACGUCUUGACGGUACCUAAUCAGAAAGCCACGGCUAACUACGUG